rfam:Sorghum bicolor cultivar BTx623 chromosome 7, whole genome shotgun sequence.
AUUCCAUGAUGAGGACAUUCUAGGAUGUAGUCUUGAAAGCGCUCCCAUGCUUCUGGAACAGAUUCAUCAUUUUGUUGCUGAAAACUUGUAAUCUUCCCACGGAGAGC